GAUGAACGCUGGCGGCGUGCCUAAUACAUGCAAGUCGAGCGAAUGGAUUAAGAGCUUGCUCUUAUGAAGUUAGCGGCGGACGGGUGAGUAACACGUGGGUAACCCGCCCAUAAGACUGGGAUAACUCCGGGAAACCGGGUCUAAUACCGGAUAACAUUUUGAACCGCAUGGUUCGAAAUUGAACGGCGGCAUCGGCUGGCACUUAUGGAAGGCCCCGCGUCGCAUUAGCUAGUUGGUGAGGUAACGGCUCACCAAGGCCACGAUGCGCAGCCGACCUGAGAGGGUGAUCGGCACCACUGGGACUGAGACACGGCCCAGAGUCCUACGGGAGGCAGCAGUAGGGAAUCUUCCGCAAUGGACGAAAGUCUGACGGAGCAACGCCGCGUGAGUGAUGAAGGCUUUCGGGUCGUAAAACUCUGUUGUUAGGGAAGAACAAGUGCUAGUUGAAUAAGCUGGCACCUUGACGGUACCUAACCUGAAAGCCACGGCUAACUACGUGCCAGCCGCCGCCGUAA
rnacentral:rRNA from 1 species